rnacentral:rRNA from 1 species
UUAAGCGACUAAGCGUACACGGUGGAUGCCCUGGCAGUCAGAGGCGAUGAAGGACGUGCUAAUCUGCGAUAAGCGUCGGUAAGGUGAUAUGAACCGUUAUAACCGGCGAUUUCCGAAUGGGGAAACCCAGUGUGAUUCGUCACACUAUCAUUAACUGAAUCCAUAGGUUAAUGAGGCGAACCGGGGGAACUGAAACAUCUAAGUACCCCGAGGAAAAGAAAUCAACCGAGAUUCCCCCAGUAGCGGCGAGCGAACGGGGAGCAGCCCAGAGCCUGAAUCAGUGUGUGUGUUAGUGGAAGCGUCUGGAAAGGCGCGCGAUACAGGGUGACAGCCCCGUACACAAAAAUGCACAUGCUGUGAGCUCGAUGAGUAGGGCGGGACACGUGGUAUCCUGUCUGAAUAUGGGGGGACCAUCCUCCAAGGCUAAAUACUCCUGACUGACCGAUAGUGAACCAGUACCGUGAGGGAAAGGCGAAAAGAACCCCGGCGAGGGGAGUGAAAAAGAACCUGAAACCGUGUACGUACAAGCAGUGGGAGCCUCUUUAUGGGGUGACUGCGUACCUUUUGUAUAAUGGGUCAGCGACUUAUAUUCUGUAGCAAGGUUAACCGAAUAGGGGAGCCGAAGGGAAACCGAGUCUUAACUGGGCGUUAAGUUGCAGGGUAUAGACCCGAAACCCGGUGAUCUAGCCAUGGGCAGGUUGAAGGUUGGGUAACACUAACUGGAGGACCGAACCGACUAAUGUUGAAAAAUUAGCGGAUGACUUGUGGCUGGGGGUGAAAGGCCAAUCAAACCGGGAGAUAGCUGGUUCUCCCCGAAAGCUAUUUAGGUAGCGCCUCGUGAAUUCAUCUCCGGGGGUAGAGCACUGUUUCGGCAAGGGGGUCAUCCCGACUUACCAACCCGAUGCAAACUACGAAUACCGGAGAAUGUUAUCACGGGAGACACACGGCGGGUGCUAACGUCCGUCGUGAAGAGGGAAACAACCCAGACCGCCAGCUAAGGUCCCAAAGUCAUGGUUAAGUGGGAAACGAUGUGGGAAGGCCCAGACAGCCAGGAUGUUGGCUUAGAAGCAGCCAUCAUUUAAAGAAAGCGUAAUAGCUCACUGGUCGAGUCGGCCUGCGCGGAAGAUGUAACGGGGCUAAACCAUGCACCGAAGCUGCGGCAGCGACGCUGAUGCGUUGUUGGGUAGGGGAGCGUUCUGUAAGCCUGCGAAGGUGUGCUGUGAGGCAUGCUGGAGGUAUCAGAAGUGCGAAUGCUGACAUAAGUAACGAUAAAGCGGGUGAAAAGCCCGCUCGCCGGAAGACCAAGGGUUCCUGUCCAACGUUAAUCGGGGCAGGGUGAGUCGACCCCUAAGGCGAGGCCGAAAGGCGUAGUCGAUGGGAAACAGGUUAAUAUUCCUGUACUUGGUGUUACUGCGAAGGGGGGACGGAGAAGGCUAUGUUGGCCGGGCGACGGUUGUCCCGGUUUAAGCGUGUAGGCUGGUUUUCCAGGCAAAUCCGGAAAAUCAAGGCUGAGGCGUGAUGACGAGGCACUACGGUGCUGAAGCAACAAAUGCCCUGCUUCCAGGAAAAGCCUCUAAGCAUCAGGUAACAUCAAAUCGUACCCCAAACCGACACAGGUGGUCAGGUAGAGAAUACCAAGGCGCUUGAGAGAACUCGGGUGAAGGAACUAGGCAAAAUGGUGCCGUAACUUCGGGAGAAGGCACGCUGAUAUGUAGGUGAAGUCCCUCGCGGAUGGAGCUGAAAUCAGUCGAAGAUACCAGCUGGCUGCAACUGUUUAUUAAAAACACAGCACUGUGCAAACACGAAAGUGGACGUAUACGGUGUGACGCCUGCCCGGUGCCGGAAGGUUAAUUGAUGGGGUUAGCGCAAGCGAAGCUCUUGAUCGAAGCCCCGGUAAACGGCGGCCGUAACUAUAACGGUCCUAAGGUAGCGAAAUUCCUUGUCGGGUAAGUUCCGACCUGCACGAAUGGCGUAAUGAUGGCCAGGCUGUCUCCACCCGAGACUCAGUGAAAUUGAACUCGCUGUGAAGAUGCAGUGUACCCGCGGCAAGACGGAAAGACCCCGUGAACCUUUACUAUAGCUUGACACUGAACAUUGAGCCUUGAUGUGUAGGAUAGGUGGGAGGCUUUGAAGUGUGGACGCCAGUCUGCAUGGAGCCGACCUUGAAAUACCACCCUUUAAUGUUUGAUGUUCUAACGUUGACCCGUAAUCCGGGUUGCGGACAGUGUCUGGUGGGUAGUUUGACUGGGGCGGUCUCCUCCUAAAGAGUAACGGAGGAGCACGAAGGUUGGCUAAUCCUGGUCGGACAUCAGGAGGUUAGUGCAAUGGCAUAAGCCAGCUUGACUGCGAGCGUGACGGCGCGAGCAGGUGCGAAAGCAGGUCAUAGUGAUCCGGUGGUUCUGAAUGGAAGGGCCAUCGCUCAACGGAUAAAAGGUACUCCGGGGAUAACAGGCUGAUACCGCCCAAGAGUUCAUAUCGACGGCGGUGUUUGGCACCUCGAUGUCGGCUCAUCACAUCCUGGGGCUGAAGUAGGUCCCAAGGGUAUGGCUGUUCGCCAUUUAAAGUGGUACGCGAGCUGGGUUUAGAACGUCGUGAGACAGUUCGGUCCCUAUCUGCCGUGGGCGCUGGAGAAUUGAGGGGGGCUGCUCCUAGUACGAGAGGACCGGAGUGGACGCAUCACUGGUGUUCGGGUUGUCAUGCCAAUGGCACUGCCCGGUAGCUAAAUGCGGAAGAGAUAAGUGCUGAAAGCAUCUAAGCACGAAACUUGCCCCGAGAUGAGUUCUCCCUGACUCCUUGAGAGUCCUGAAGGAACGUUGAAGACGACGACGUUGAUAGGCCGGGUGUGUAAGCGCAGCGAUGCGUUGAGCUAACCGGUACUAAUGAACCGUGAGGCUUAACCUU